rnacentral:rRNA from 1 species
GACGAACGCUGGCGGCGUGCUUAACACAUGCAAGUCGAACGAAGAGCGAUGGAAGCUUGCUUCUAUCAAUCUUAGUGGCGAACGGGUGAGUAACGCGUAAUCAACCUGCCCUUCAGAGGGGGACAACAGUUGGAAACGACUGCUAAUACCGCAUACGAUCUAACCUCGGCAUCGAGGAUAGAUGAAAGGUGGCCUCUACAUGUAAGCUAUCACUGAAGGAGGGGAUUGCGUCUGAUUAGCUAGUUGGGGGGGUAACGGCCCACCAAGGCGAUGAUCAGUAGCCGGUCUGAGAGGAUGAACGGCCACAUUGGAACUGAGACACGGCCCAGACUCCUACGGGAGGCAGCAGUGGGGAAUCUUCCGCAAUGGACGAAAGUCUGACGGAGCAACGCCGCGUGAGUGAUGACGGCCUUCGGGUUGUAAAGCUCUGUUAAUCGGGACGAAAGGCCUUCUUGCGAAUAGUUAGAAGGAUUGACGGUACCGGAAUAGAAAGCCACGGCUAACUACGUG